rnacentral:tRNA from 1 species
AAGAAAUUAGUUAAAAUGAUAACAUUAGUAUGUCAUACUAAAAUUAUUGAAAUUUCAAUAUUUCUUU